rnacentral:lncRNA from 1 species
UUUAUUUUUAUAUAGUAUAGAGCGGUAAGUUAGUGCUGUUCUAAGGAAGUGGUAGCUGUUCCAGUACACAAAGAAGGGAGAUUUGUGUAACCCGAGCUCUUUGAUCAAGACGGUGUGGCCAAAGUCAAUCCUUUGAGAAAAAAGUCAUGUAUUUUCGUUGGCUAUAGUGAUCAGCACAAGGGGUACUGCUGUUAUGAUCCCCGCACGCAGAAAAAACUCAUCUCAAGACAUGUCACAUUUGAUGAAACACGAUUUGCCUCGCUACCCCUUGCGCCUCUUCUCGGGGAGAGAUACACACACGCGCGAUGACUGCU